UGAAGCAUCUAUAUGGCCUAUAGACAUGUGAUCUUAAUAGCUUUAACACUUUAAGCUAGUUCAGGCCUGGUCAAUACUUGGAUGAGAGACCUCCAAGGAAAACCCAUGAUGCUUCCA
ensembl:rRNA 5S_rRNA 5S ribosomal RNA